rnacentral:rRNA from 1 species
GACAGAGGGUGCAAGCGUUGUUCGGAAUUACUGGGCGUAAAGGGCGUGUAGGCGGUGAUGUGUGUCCCAUGUGAAAGCCCUCGGCUCAACCGGGGAAGUGCAUGGGAAACUACAUUACUUGAGUAUGAGAGAGGAUGGCGGAAUUUCCAGUGUAGAGGUGAAAUUCGUAGAUACUGGAAGGAACACCCGAGGCGAAGGCGGCCAUCUGGCUCAUUACUGACGCUGAGACGCGAAAGCGUGGGGAGCAAACAGG